UUCUUGUGGAGAACUGACUCUUUUUGGGGGACAAUGGCACGUUCCCAUAGCUUAAUGUUUAAUAUUUUAUGGUUGUAUGGCUGUGUGUUGGGGUAAACCUCCUGAAAUGAAUGCUCAUCAAUGUAUCGACCCGAGAGUCCUGACUACACGGAGUAGUUGUGUGAAAGGGGUUUCAAGUUGGAGCAUUGUAACCAGAUGUUUACAGUCCUUUUGUUCUCAUCCAGCUGCAAAGAGAUUUCAGGAUGGUGGCAAAAAAAACACAACUUUCCGCGAUGGUCCUGACCGGUGACGCGGUUUAGAUACCGGUGAGCUUUUUAAUCGGGGAUAUUUAUAAAAAUGAACAAAGGUGCUGCAGUACAAACACGUUCCCCGUUGGCCAGUUGCAAAAGAAAAUGAAAGUUGUGUCUCCCACUGGUGGUUUUACCUGAAAGUGCAAGAAAAUCCUUUAACAAGUUGACCUCAAAGCAAACUCGUUUCUUAAAUUACAUUACAUUCAAUAAUAAUAGUCUUUCUAUUGUUCUUUUUAUACUACUCAAAGACACCUCAUUAAAAUCAAAGCAUAACAAAUAAAGCUAUUUACUGAAGACAUAAAACACACAAUGUUGGUCACGCAUCAAAAGCAGAAUGUGUACACUCAUAGUAUCAGAACUUUGUCUAAAAACAGGCCUAACAGGCCUCAUAAGCCAGUUUGUUGCAAUGUACUUGAGUAAAAGGUGUGUUUCUGUGACCCAGGAUGGCGAACAAGGCCGGCGUGAGGUCCGACGAAGGCCUGAUGAUGAUGCAGGAGCUGGACGACCGGCUGCAAGAGCAGAUUGACAAACUGGAGCAUGUUCGCCUCGGCGCUGUCGAACUGAAGGACAACUUGUCUGGGAGCAACAGCGAUCUCACCCAGUCCAUCGCCGACCACCUUGAAUGGUUGGAUCACCUGUCACAGCGAGUGGAGACUCUUCACAUGAAGACGACCGCUUUUGUUCAGGUGAGAAACGUAAUCUGGGUGAUGUGCAAAGAA
ensembl:lncRNA